UACGAAGGGGGCUAGCGUUGUUUCGGAAUUAGCUAGGGGCGUAAAGGGCGCGUAGGCGGUCCUGAUCGUCGGAUGUGAAAGGACCUGGGGCCUCCAACCUGGGAACUGCAUCCGAUACGGCGGGACUGGAGUGUGGGAGAAGGUUGGUGGAAUUCCCAGUGUAGGAGGUAGAAAUUCGUAGAUAUUGGGAAGAACACCGGUGGCGAAGGCGGCCAACUGGACCACAACUGACGCUGAGGCGCGAAAGCGUGGGGAAGCAAACAGGG
rnacentral:rRNA from 1 species